AAACCAAUUUACAACAAAACUCAACUCUUCGCUUUCCAUUCUCUUUGUUUCUUGGAUAUUUUCACUCUUUCUGGGUAUUCGAUAAAUUUUUAAAAUUUCUCUUUUGGGUAUGUUUUUGUUGAAAUAUUUGAUCAAGAAACUAUAUCGAUCAUUCAUUUUUUGGGUAAUUUAAUGGUUGUUUUUUGCUUUAUAUUUGGGUGGUGCUUGAAUUUAUUGUUUAUACAAGAAAAAUAGAAUGAUCCAGCAAUAUGGAAGUCAAAGUGCUAGCUCGAGCUCGCAUUCGAAUAGCAGUUCGCAGGAUACAGAGGAUGAUCAUACAAUUGCAGAAAUAUUAGCAGAAGAAGAAAGAUUAAAUUAUGAUGGCAGACUUGGCAAGAGGCUUUCUCAUUUGGAUUCGAUCCCGGUAUUUUAAUAUAUUAUCAUCAAUUCCUCAAAUUUCUCCCUUAUUGAAUCCUAAUAAUGAAAUUAUUGUUAAAUAAAUGGAGAUCAUGAACUUGAAUAUGUUGUCCGUAUGCUCCUUAAGUAGUCUUUCUUGAUUAUCAUUCUCUUGUCUUGUGGUUGAUGAUUUUUCUAAUUUGUUUACUUUCUGCAAAACGUUCAAGAAUUUGCAUAUUGCUUAACUAGGAAUAUGGAAUGUACUGCAGUUUAUUAUGUCGAAACUUGCAAGAAUCUGCCUAUUGUUUAACGAGGAUUCUGAAUCAUACUGCAUUUUAUACUGUUAAAAUAACAUAUAAUGAGUGCGCCGAAUGAGGAAAACUCAAUACUGCUAAGCAAUUUGUGUUGGGCGAUUUUGGCUAUACAUAAGCUUACAAAUUCACGGAAUUUUUCAGCAUACGCCUUGGGUAAUUGGUGAUACACCUGAUCCAAAUGAUGCACCCUUAUACCAUGGGAGGCUUGCUGAGAGGUUAUAAUUUUUUUCUUUAAUCUCGUUUUUGUUUUACAUUCUGUAAUUUUUUCUUGUACUUGUUACUCUUUAUUAUUUUAGGAUAUAUUUUAAGGACAUUUAUGGAGAGAGAAAUUGAAAAUAUUCCCAAUGUUUAUAAUUCUUUCAAUUGUCUCUUUUUUUCGAAAAUCCUAAAAUAGUUUUUUCCUUCUCCUCCUCCUCAUUCUUCUUCUCCACUACUUGUACUCCUAUUCUCCCAGUUUUAAAAUAAGAGCAUCUGAUGACUGGCUUACAUUCUUUGUUCUUUUGCUUAUGGAAACAAGAUACUGAAAAAAAGAAAACAAACAAUAAAGUAAGUAGGAGAAAAAGAAAGAAUUGAUACCAGGAAUAAUAGAAUAAAUGGGAAGAAGGUAGGAACAAUUAUUGCAAUUUUUUGUUUACGAAAGAAAAAUUUUCCCAAUUGAUUGUUGUAGGGACUAUACUGAAUUAUUUAGAAAUAAUUAUAGAGAGUUGUUGCAGUAAUUAAGGAUAUAAUGGGAUGCAAAAGGGUGUGGGAUGGAAGAGGAAUUUUUUACAAUGAGAAGUAUGCUUUGAAUUUUACGAACUUGAGUUUGGAGAGUUGAUGGUCAGUUUUGAAGAAUUCCUCUUACUAUUUCUAUCCUGUCAGGAUUUCGAUAAAACUAUAAAAUAUUUUGGCAUAUUACUAAAUAUAGUUAAAUAGAUUCAAGAAGCCUUUAUUAUUUUUUCAGCUUCGGUAGCCAUAUGAGUUUUGAAGUUGUUGCAAUAAUGGUUUAAUGGGUCCUUCUUCACCAUUUUUCUUUGAGAACUUCUUGACUAUAUAUAAAAUGCACGUUUUUUCUUUUAGUCUUUUGCAUGUUUGCUUUGAUGAGUCCUUUUUCAACAUUAUUCUUCUUCGAGAGCAUCUUUUCUAUAUCUGAUAUGAAUAUGUCUUUUCGUUUUAUUUUUUGGCAUGUCUGUUCACUAUUGCCUGUAGAGGAUGGAGGGGUUUUUUUUAAACCUGGUCAUAUGGAUGUGCAGGAUUGUGAUAUUACUGUUUGAUCGUUCGAACGUUCCAUAUUUUUGUUAAUGGAUACUUCUUUCUUGAAAGGCUUUCCUUAACAUAGCUGUCAUUCAGGUUGACAACAUAGGGGUUAGCUGAAUUACAAAUCCAGGGAGAUGGGAAUUGCCAGGUUUGUCUCUCUUGACUAGUCUAAUUAUUGUUAAAUUGUCUAAUUGUACCGAGGAGUUUAUGGAAAUAGUAUCUAGUUAUGCCAAUAUUGUUACCAGUAUUUUUGAUGGAAAGCAGCAAGGAUAAAUUGAAAAUGUUACCAUGCUUCGGGUUGUUUUGUUCAAUUUAUAUCAGUUUACUGUUACUUUUUUGCAUGUUCGGCUAAGCUUGAAAAUAAGUGAAAAGUACUUUUCAUUAACUUAUUGUUUCCAAC
rnacentral:lncRNA from 1 species